CUCGUAGGUGGUUUGUCGCGUCGUCUGUGAAAUUCCGGGGCUUAACUCCGGGCGUGCAGGCGAUACGGGCAUAACUUGAGUACUGUAGGGGUAACUGGAAUUCCUGGUGUAGCGGUGAAAUGCGCAGAUGUCAGGAGGAACACCGAUGGCGAAGGCAGGUUACUGGGCAGUUACUGACGCUGAGGAGCGAAAGCAUGGGUAGCGAACA
rnacentral:rRNA from 1 species